GUAGUGGCUCAGUGGUAGAGCGCUCUCCUAGCAUGUGUGAGGCCUUGGGUUCGAUCCUCAGCACCACA
rnacentral:tRNA from 1 species